rnacentral:rRNA from 1 species
GACGAACGCUGGCGGCGUGCUUAACACAUGCAAGUCGAACGGUGAAGCGCCUUCCUUUUUGGUGGGUGUGGAUGAGUGGCGAACGGGUGAGUAACACGAGAGUAAACUGCCCCCUCCUUCUGGAUAACCGCAAGACAGUGUGGAUAACACGGGAUAUAUUGGGUCUGUCGCAUGAUGGGUCUGGGAAAGAUUUUGUUUCGGUGGGGGAUGGGCUCGCGGCUCAUCAGCUUGUUGGUGGGGUGAGGGCCUACCAAGGCGGUGACGGGUAGCCGGCCUGAGAGGAUCGACGGCCACACAGGGGCUGCGCCACGGCGCCGACUCCUACGGGAAGCAGCAGGGGAGAUUACGGCACGAUGGGAGCAAGCCUGGAGCAGCGCCGCGUCGGUAGGGAUGGUGUCCGUCUCGUUGUGAACCUCUAUCGGCGAUGAAGCAGUCUGUCCUCGUUUGUGCGUGGGUUGACGGUAGCUAGAUAGAAAGCGCCGGCUAACUACGUG